UACAACAUCACGGAACAACAACAAUAUAUAGGGAUGUUUCCAACAGACAUAUUUCUUACUGAACUGCCUUGAUUUUGUGCCCUUUCUGCAUCAGCUGCUGGUGAUGCUUACAGCUUUUGGAUAAUUCUGCUGGAUCCUGAAGAUGUUCACAGAGAGGGCACUAGCUGAUGGUAUGUUCAGAGAAGGAUUGAGUCUGCACUUGUUUGCAGAGAUGACAUGUCCUGACAAGAUAUACACAGGCAACCAUAUGAUAGUGUUGAUGAUGCAAGAUUGAACAAUAUAUUGGCUUGUUUAGCUUUUGUUAUCAGAAUCUGCAUCUUGUGUGGUACUGUUUCAUCACGCAUCUAACACAGCUCUGAAUCUGUCAAGCAAAAAGUAACAUCAUCAGACAACCAAGGGACAUGGGCAAUUUCACACAACAUGCAGGAUAUUUGCGAUUUUAGUUGCUCGAUAUGACAACAAUGGAGGACCUCACCGUGGCACAAUCCGGCCAAGAGUUCGCGCCGCCGCAGCCGACGACCA
rnacentral:lncRNA from 1 species